AUUGAACGCUGGCGGCAGGCCUAACACAUGCAAGUCGAGCGAGCGGCGGACGGGUUCGUAAUGCAUGUGGACUGCCCGAUCGAGGGGGAUAACUACUGGUAACGGUGGCUCAUACCGCAUACUAUCGGAUAACCCAUAUGGGAUUAGCUAGUAGGUGGGGUAAAGGCUCACGUAGGCGACGAUCUCUAGCUGGUCGGAGAGGAUGAUCAGCCAAACUGGGACUGAGAAACGGCCCAUACUCCUACGGAGGCAGCAGUGGGGAAUAUUGCACAAUGGGGGCAAGCCUGAUGCAGCCAUCCCGCGUGUAUGAAGAAAGCCUUAGGGUUGUAAAGUACGUUCAGCGGGGAGGCGUUACCCGCAGAAUAAGCACCGGCUAACUCCGUGCCAGAAGCCGCGGUAAUUC
rnacentral:rRNA from 1 species